rnacentral:rRNA from 1 species
GGGUUGUGAGGUUAAGCGACUAAGCGUACACGGUGGAUGCCCUGGCAGUCAGAGGCGAUGAAGGACGUGCUAAUCUGCGAUAAGCGUCGGUAAGGUGAUAUGAACCGUUAUAACCGGCGAUUUCCGAAUGGGGAAACCCAGUGUGUUUCGACGCACUAUCAUUAACUGAAUCCAUAGGUUAAUGAGGCGAACCGGGGGAACUGAAACAUCUAAGUACCCCGAGGAAAAGAAAUCAACCGAGAUUCCCCCAGUAGCGGCGAGCGAACGGGGAGGAGCCCAGAGCCUGAAUCAGUGUGUGUGUUAGUGGAAGCGUCUGGAAAGGCGCGCGAUACAGGGUGACAGCCCCGUACACAAAAAUGCACAUGCUGUGAGCUCGAUGAGUAGGGCGGGACACGUGGUAUCCUGUCUGAAUAUGGGGGGACCAUCCUCCAAGGCUAAAUACUCCUGACUGACCGAUAGUGAACCAGUACCGUGAGGGAAAGGCGAAAAGAACCCCGGCGAGGGGAGUGAAAAAGAACCUGAAACCGUGUACGUACAAGCAGUGGGAGCCUCUUUUAUGGGGUGACUGCGUACCUUUUGUAUAAUGGGUCAGCGACUUAUAUUCUGUAGCAAGGUUAACCGAAUAGGGGAGCCGAAGGGAAACCGAGUCUUAACUGGGCGUUAAGUUGCAGGGUAUAGACCCGAAACCCGGUGAUCUAGCCAUGGGCAGGUUGAAGGUUGGGUAACACUAACUGGAGGACCGAACCGACUAAUGUUGAAAAAUUAGCGGAUGACUUGUGGCUGGGGGUGAAAGGCCAAUCAAACCGGGAGAUAGCUGGUUCUCCCCGAAAGCUAUUUAGGUAGCGCCUCGUGAAUUCAUCUCCGGGGGUAGAGCACUGUUUCGGCAAGGGGGUCAUCCCGACUUACCAACCCGAUGCAAACUGCGAAUACCGGAGAAUGUUAUCACGGGAGACACACGGCGGGUGCUAACGUCCGUCGUGAAGAGGGAAACAACCCAGACCGCCAGCUAAGGUCCCAAAGUCAUGGUUAAGUGGGAAACGAUGUGGGAAGGCCCAGACAGCCAGGAUGUUGGCUUAGAAGCAGCCAUCAUUUAAAGAAAGCGUAAUAGCUCACUGGUCGAGUCGGCCUGCGCGGAAGAUGUAACGGGGCUAAACCAUGCACCGAAGCUGCGGCAGCGACGCUUAUGCGUUGUUGGGUAGGGGAGCGUUCUGUAAGCCUGUGAAGGUGUGCUGUGAGGCAUGCUGGAGGUAUCAGAAGUGCGAAUGCUGACAUAAGUAACGAUAAAGCGGGUGAAAAGCCCGCUCGCCGGAAGACCAAGGGUUCCUGUCCAACGUUAAUCGGGGCAGGGUGAGUCGACCCCUAAGGCGAGGCCGAAAGGCGUAGUCGAUGGGAAACAGGUUAAUAUUCCUGUACUUGGUGUUACUGCGAAGGGGGGACGGAGAAGGCUAUGUUGGCCGGGCGACGGUUGUCCCGGUUUAAGCGUGUAGGCUGGUUUUCCAGGCAAAUCCGGAAAAUCAAGGCUGAGGCGUGAUGACGAGGCACUACGGUGCUGAAGCAACAAAUGCCCUGCUUCCAGGAAAAGCCUCUAAGCAUCAGGUAACAUCAAAUCGUACCCCAAACCGACACAGGUGGUCAGGUAGAGAAUACCAAGGCGCUUGAGAGAACUCGGGUGAAGGAACUAGGCAAAAUGGUGCCGUAACUUCGGGAGAAGGCACGCUGAUAUGUAGGUGAAGCGACUUGCUCGUGGAGCUGAAAUCAGUCGAAGAUACCAGCUGGCUGCAACUGUUUAUUAAAAACACAGCACUGUGCAAACACGAAAGUGGACGUAUACGGUGUGACGCCUGCCCGGUGCCGGAAGGUUAAUUGAUGGGGUUAGCGCAAGCGAAGCUCUUGAUCGAAGCCCCGGUAAACGGCGGCCGUAACUAUAACGGUCCUAAGGUAGCGAAAUUCCUUGUCGGGUAAGUUCCGACCUGCACGAAUGGCGUAAUGAUGGCUAGGCUGUCUCCACCCGAGACUCAGUGAAAUUGAACUCGCUGUGAAGAUGCAGUGUACCCGCGGCAAGACGGAAAGACCCCGUGAACCUUUACUAUAGCUUGACACUGAACAUUGAGCCUUGAUGUGUAGGAUAGGUGGGAGGCUUUGAAGUGUGGACGCCAGUCUGCAUGGAGCCGACCUUGAAAUACCACCCUUUAAUGUUUGAUGUUCUAACGUUGACCCGUAAUCCGGGUUGCGGACAGUGUCUGGUGGGUAGUUUGACUGGGGCGGUCUCCUCCUAAAGAGUAACGGAGGAGCACGAAGGUUGGCUAAUCCUGGUCGGACAUCAGGAGGUUAGUGCAAUGGCAUAAGCCAGCUUGACUGCGAGCGUGACGGCGCGAGCAGGUGCGAAAGCAGGUCAUAGUGAUCCGGUGGUUCUGAAUGGAAGGGCCAUCGCUCAACGGAUAAAAGGUACUCCGGGGAUAACAGGCUGAUACCGCCCAAGAGUUCAUAUCGACGGCGGUGUUUGGCACCUCGAUGUCGGCUCAUCACAUCCUGGGGCUGAAGUAGGUCCCAAGGGUAUGGCUGUUCGCCAUUUAAAGUGGUACGCGAGCUGGGUUUAGAACGUCGUGAGACAGUUCGGUCCCUAUCUGCCGUGGGCGCUGGAGAACUGAGGGGGGCUGCUCCUAGUACGAGAGGACCGGAGUGGACGCAUCACUGGUGUUCGGGUUGUCAUGCCAAUGGCACUGCCCGGUAGCUAAAUGCGGAAGAGAUAAGUGCUGAAAGCAUCUAAGCACGAAACUUGCCCCGAGAUGAGUUCUCCCUGACUCCUUGAGAGUCCUGAAGGAACGUUGAAGACGACGACGUUGAUAGGCCGGGUGUGUAAGCGCAGCGAUGCGUUGAGCUAACCGGUACUAAUGAACCGUGAGGCUUAACCUUACAACGCCGAAG